UACAAGAGAUGGUUUGACAUCAGGUGAUAUUGAAUAGCAGAAAUUUUUCCAGCCAUCAAAUUUCUUUUUCUUUAGAAAUUUUGAAGUUUCUGACAUACUCUUUGUAAGAAUUUCAAAAUUCUCAUCAGUGGAGCAUUGACAGUAUGUAAUUUCAGCAUAUUUUCUUCUCUUUACUGCCUCAGUACAUUCGUUAUCCCACCAAGGAGGAGAAGGAAUAAAACCCAAAGAGCUAUUUUUACUUGGAAAUAUCUCAUUGGCAACCUCAAUAAAGAUUCUUGCUAAAGAAUCUGCACACUGAGAUUCUGUACCUGGAUUAAUUUUUGGAAGUGUUGGAAAUGAUAAUAAUAGUAGGAAGUGAUCACUACCAAAAGUAGAUCGUAAUGGAUCCCAGGACAAAGAAGAAGCAAGAUUAGGUGUAGUGACUGUUAAAUCUGGAGCACUUGGGCCCUCGUCAGGAUGAGAACGUCGUGUAGGACGACCAUCAUUUAAUAUACACAAAUUCACUGAAUCAAAUAUAUCUAUUAAUGUGUUACCAUAACUAUUAGAAGAUAAGUAACCCCAGGAUUCAUGGCGACAGUUAAAAUCACUAAGGAUCAUAAAAGGCUUCGGAAGAAUGGAAAUAAUAUCUUUGAUUUCAUUUAAGAUUGCAGAAGAAGGAUGAGGUAUAUAAAUAGAUACAUAACAGAUAUUUUCAACUAAAGCAGCAAUAAUAGAAAAAUCAUUACUGUGAGAAGGAAUAGAGAAGAGAGAAAAGGAAAGAGGGUGUUUCACAAGCAUGGCUACUCCGCCAUGCCCAUCCACACGAUCUUCUCUGAGACAUGAAUAACCACGAAUCUUAAAUAAAGAUCCUGGUUUCAACCAUGUCUCUUGAAGAGCACAGAUAUAAGAAACUAAUAAGGCAGCGUUGGACGGUGAAAAUUCAUUCGAUUGACUAAGAGAUUUUAUAAGAGAAAUAAUUAAAUCAAUUACUGAG